GAACGAACGCUGGCGGCAUGCCUAACACAUGCAAGUCGAACGAGACCUUCGGGUCUAGUGGCGCACGGGUGCGUAACGCGUGGGAACCUGCCCUUAGGUUCGGAAUAACUCCCCGAAAGGGGUGCUAAUACCGGAUAAUGUCUUCGGACCAAAGAUUUAUCGCCUUUGGAUGGGCCCGCGUUGGAUUAGCUAGUUGGUAGGGUAAAAGCCUACCAAGGCGACGAUCCAUAGCUGGUCUGAGAGGAUGAUCAGCCACACUGGGACUGAGACACGGCCCAGACUCCUACGGGAGGCGGCAGUGGGGAAUAUUGGACAAUGGGCGAAAGCCUGAUCCAGCAAUGCCGCGUGAGUGAUGAAGGCCUUAGGGUUGUAAAGCUCUUUUACCCGGGAUGAUAAUGACAGUACCGGGAGAAUAAGCUCCGGCUAACUCCGUG
rnacentral:rRNA from 1 species